GUGCUCACUCCAGCAGCACAUAUACUAAAAUUGAAAUGAUACAGAGAAGAUUAGCAAGGCCCCUGCGUAAGGAUGACACAACAAUUUGUAAAGCGGUCCAUAUUUAA
ensembl:snRNA U6 U6 spliceosomal RNA